GUUGAUCCUGCCGGAGGUCACUGCUAUCGGGGUUCGAUUAAGCCAUGCGAGUCGAGAGGGUUCAGACCCUCGGCGGACUGCUCAGUAACACGUGGAUAAUCUGCCCUAUGGUGGAGGAUAACCCCGGGAAACUGGGGAUAAUACUCCAUAAGUCAGGAGUACUGGAAUGUCUCCUAACUGAAAGUUGCGGCGCCAUAGGAUGCAUCUGCGGCCGAUUAGGUAGUUGUUGGGGUAACGGCCCAACAAGCCCGUAAUCGGUACGGGUUGUGGGAGCAAGAGCCCGGAGAUGGAAUCUGAGACACGAUUCCAGGCCCUACGGGGCGCAGCAGGCGCGAAAACUUUACAAUGCAGGAAACUGUGAUAGGGGAACCCCGAGUGCCCGUACACGCGGGCUGUCCCGGUGUUUAAAACACAUCGGAAGAAAGGGCCGGGCAAGAUCGGUGCCAGCCGCCGCGGUAAUACCGGCGGCCCGAGUGGUGACCACUUUUAUUGGGCUUAAAGCGUUCGUAGCUUGAUUUUUAAGUCUCUUGGGAAAUCUCACGGCUUAACUGUGAGGCGUCUAASAGAUACUGGGAAUCUAGGGACCGGGAGAGGUAAGAGGUACUUCAGGGGUAGAAGUGAAAUUCUGUAAUCCUUGAGGGACCACCGAUGGCGAAAGGCAUCUUUACCAGAACGGCUUCRACAGUGAGGAAMAGAAAGCUGGGGGAGCGAACGGGAUUAGAUACCCCGGUAGUCCCAGCCGUAAACUAUGCGCGUUAGGUGUGCCUGUAACUACGAGUUACCGGGGUGCCGAAGUGAAAACGUGAAACGUGCCGCCUGGGAAGUACGGUCGCAAGGCUGAGACUUAAAGGAAUUGGCGGGGGAGCACCACAACGGGUGGAGCCUGCGGUUUAAUUGGACUCAACGCCGGGCAGCUCACCGGAUAGGACAGCGGAAUGAUAGCCGGGCUGAAGACCUUGCUUGACCAGCUGAGAGGAGGUGCAUGGCCGUCGUCAGUUCGUACUGUGAAGCAUCCUGUUUAGUCAGGCAACGAGCGAGACCCU
rnacentral:rRNA from 1 species